rnacentral:rRNA from 1 species
CCUACGGGAGGCAGCAGUGAGGAAUAUUGGUCAAUGGGCGGGAGCCUGAACCAGCCAAGUCGCGCGAGGGAAGACGGUCCUACGGAUUGUAAACCUCUUUUGCCGGGGAGCAACGGGGUCCUUGCGAGGGCCCGAUGAGAGUACCCGGAGAAAAAGCAUCGGCUAACUCCGUGCCAGCAGCCGCGGUAAUACGGAGGAUGCGAGCGUUAUCCGGAUUUAUGGGGUUUAAGGGGUGCGUAGGCGGGCUGUUAAGUCAGCGGUCAAAUGUCGGGGCUCAACCCCGGCCUGCCGUUGAAACUGGCGGCCUUGAGUGGGGGAGAGGUAUGCGGAAUGCGUGGUGUAGCGGUGAAAUGCAUAGAUAUAACGCAGAACACCGAUGGCGAAGGCAGAAUACCGGAGGACUACUGACGCUGAGGCGCGAAAGCGUGGGUAGCGAACAGGAUUAGAUACCCGUGUAGUC